rnacentral:rRNA from 1 species
UACGUAGGGUGCGAGCGUUAAUCGGAAUUACUGGGCGUAAAGCGUGCGCAGGCGGUUCGUCGUGUCUGAUGUGAAAGCCCCGGGCUCAACCUGGGAAUGGCAUUGGAAACUGGCGGACUAGAGUGUGGCAGAGGGGGGUGGAAUUCCGCGUGUAGCAGUGAAAUGCGUAGAGAUGCGGAGGAACACCGAUGGCGAAGGCAGCCCCCUGGCUAACACUGACGCUCAGGCACGAAAGCGUGGGAGCAAACAGG